CUGUGCCCGCCUCUAAGUCGGAGGUUCUUCAACUUCAGCGCGCGUCAGCGUCCCUUGGAGAGGCUGUGCUCACUCAGUGCUGGGCCCCACCCCGGAGUUUCGGACUCAGUAGGUCUGGGGUGCGGCCCGAAGUAUUUGUAGCAAGGGCCUGCUGAUGCUGGAUCUACCGCCUGGGGUCUUUCGGGCCCUCCCCAGGCCAGUGAGGAACGCCGUAAUUGCAUCUCAACUUGCGGACUUGUAAGGAGGCACCAGACACACCUGGCCUGUCUUCCUCUUGGAACAACUCCAAGAUUUGGGGGAAGGAGACACUUUACAGGCGGAGACGGGCCCAGGGAGCAGGUCCUGUGGUGGCGUGGGCCCAGCGCUGUUCCACUCUCUUCUCUUUGAUGGAAUCGUUAGAAGUCCCCACCCCGGUGGCACGCGAAAUAUGUUGGAGGAGACCAAGAUUAACCAGAGAGCCGUACAAGACAGUCAGCUCCUGAGGCAGGUGCCAAGAAGGCAGCUCCAGCCUGGUCGAGGAGGCCGGGAAAGCCUCUGGGAAGGAGUGGGAGUUAACUGUGGGGCUGCCGGGAGGAACGUUUCCGCCACACAGAGGUCUUGGGGAGGUGGAGGGGUGUGCAAGUGUGGGGAGCACGUGGCACCUCCUUCCAUGAUCCCUAAGGCAGCCUCUGACUAUUGUAGUUGGCCUGGGGCUAGCCGGGCCAGCACACGGGUUCCCUUCUCCCUUUGUCACUGGUGUCCCACGCCUCCCCCCUAGCAGCCUCCGUCUCAGAGCAGGCCAACCCCACUCUCCUCCAGCACAGCUUCCAUCCAAUGGAGGAGGAACCCCCUCCCUGCCCAGGGAGUUCAGGACCGAGCAAGUGACCCAGCCAGUGAGGUGACACGGGGAGCUCCCUUUUUCCCAUGAGAAGAUGCCGCGUUACUGUAGCGCCCAAGACAGUCACAGCCACCUUGCUGUGUCAGAGGUGACGCGAUUCCUGAGCGUGGGAGAUGGAGGGCCCUCAAGGUGACAUGGGCUCGAGCAGCUGAGGUGAUGUUUCUCAGUGUGAAGUCUACUGCCCUUUGGAGCAGGAUAACUCCCUGUUGUGACCGCCUGCAGCAAACAUUUCUAAGAUCUUUAACGUCUGAGAGCCCUCCCCUCAAGAUGCUGCUAGCAGCCCCAGGAAUCCUGACGACUGAGGACCCCCUACCCCCGUUUGCAAACAUCCCAGCUAAGGGGGUGGUAGGAGAACCAUGGAGCUCAGUCUUUGGACCUCCUACCAAGAGGGCUGAAAAAAAUAAAUACAGCUUUCUGGUUCAGUCAGCACGAUUGAGCUUUCUGCUGCUUGCAGACCGGUUUCCUAACAGGAAGGCAACAUUACGAUAAUUCUGAAAGGAGGAAUCAGCUGAGCCUCCCAGAGGGAUGAGUCCAGGGCUCCCCAAGAGGAGGUGGGCAAGCGGUCCCGUUCAGGGGGAGCUCCCGCGCCUCCUCCCCGCCUGCUCUCCCUCCGGUCACACGGAGGCGACUCUGAACUUCACUGUUUGGAGUUUUCUCCUUCCCACCAACUUCCCCCAUAAAAACAAACCUAGUUGGUUUGUUCCGUGGGGGGAAAAAUGAACAAACAAAAAACAAAGGACAGGAUACGUAUGUGGAAGAAACCCUUGAUAUGCAAAACCCUUGAUAUGCACAAAACACGUUUCUGGUUUUCUAUGCGUGGGGUAUUUCUGGAAAGGUCCUGUUGACAGAGGAGUGCCUCUGGGGAGCCGAGCUGCGGGGCUGCGGGUGAGAGGUGGGCGGGAAACUUCCUUCUCCCGCGAGAGCCCUUCGUGCUGUUUGAAUUCUUCGUCUUGUGCACAGUCCUGACGGAGGACUCUUGCCCUGCUUCGGCACCAGCUUUAUCCGUCUGCCAGGUCUGGUCCAGACUCCACCCUGACAUCAUCUGACUCCCACCACUUCUGCACCCUCCUCUCUCUCUGCUCCCCUUCAGAUGUCACUUUCUGCCCAGCUCCCCUCCAAGCCCCCUGGGCUGGCGUGAGUGAAGCAGCAGGGCCCCGAACCUACCUGAGAAACGGCCAUGUCACCUGUUCCACCGUUGGGACUCCCCACGAUUUUGUUUGAACAAAGAAAUCCACAGCAAAUCAGCAUCGCCAUCGUCCUCCUCCCCAUCGUGUAAACCAGUGCUCAGGAGAGCCCUCCUCCAAACUCUCCCCUUAAAAGUACUUGUGCCCCCCCCUUCAUUGCCUGGAGUGACCCCACCUCCACUUGCUGAAAUUACCUGGUCUUUAAGGCAAUUUCCAAAUUUUACCUCCUUUGUGACCUGGGACCACCCAGUUAGUAAUGAUGACUUUUGCUCAGAGGCAGAUUUAUGGUGAAACUGAAAUGUUGUUCCUGGACCCCUUCUGAUGUGUUCACAUAGUCAUGUGAUAAAAAUAAAAUUCCUAUUUUAUGGCAAGACAAAAUUUAAACAAAAAUUUUCUCUGCUUAUUUGGGGCCUCCUCCCUCCCCUUUAGAGGGUGUCAUGCAUCUGCAUUGACCCAACUUCCUUAGGAGGGCACCUUUCUUCUUAAUCUUGUAGAGUCAGGGCGACACACUACAAAUCUGGGUUGUAUGAACUGUCAAUAACACGUCAUUUGACAUAAUAACUCUCUGUCUCAAAAACUCACAUAAUCCUGCUUUGACAGUUGUCAGAGCUUUCUGAAAGACUGUCUCCCAGGUUAUAGUCCUCAGGUUGGCCUUGAAUAAAGUUUUCCAUUUCUUUAUUA